GAAUAUUGGACAAUGGGGGAAACCCUGAUCCAGCCAUGCCGCGUGUGUGAAGAAGGUCUUCGGAUUGUAAAGCACUUUAAGUUGGGAGGAAGGGCGUCAAGCUAAUACCUUGAUGUUUUGACGUUACCAACAGAAUAAGCACCGGCUAACUCUGUGUCAGCAGCCGCGGUAAUACAGAGGGUGCAAGCGUUAAUCGGAAUUACUGGGCGUAAAGCGCGCGUAGGUGGUUCAGGAAGAUGGGUGUGAAAUCCCCGGGCUCAACCUGGGAACUGCUUUCAUAACUGGCGAGCUAGAGUAGGGCAGAGGGUGGUGGAAUUUCCUGUGUAGCGGUGAAAUGCUUAGAUAUAGGAAGGAACACCAGUGGCGAAGGCGACCACCUGGGCUCAUACUGACACUGAGGUGCGAAAGCGUGGGGAGCAAACAG
rnacentral:rRNA from 1 species